rnacentral:ncRNA from 1 species
AACUGAAAAAGGCAAACUUGUUGAAAAGCAAGGACGCAAAGCUAUGGGCCUACCCGAUUUCGAAUGGUCGCCAGGCUGCCAGG